rnacentral:rRNA from 1 species
UCUCUCUCAUUCGAUUAGAGAUAGAUCAUGGCUCAGAUUGAUCUCUCGCGGCGUGCUUUACACAUGCAAGUCGAGCGGCAGCAUGACCUUCGGGUUGAUGGCGAGCGGCGAACGGGUGAGUAAUACAUCGGAACGUACCUUUUAGUGGGGGAUAACGCAUCGAAAGAUGUGCUAAUACCGCAUAAUCUCUGAGGAGGAAAGGCGGGGAUCACGUAAGUGACCUGUCGCUGAAAGAGCGGCCGAUGGUCGAUUAGCUAGUUGGCGGGGUAAAAGCCCACCAAGGCGAUGAUCGAUAGCGGGUCUGAGAGGACGAUCCGUCACACUGGGACUGAGACACGGCCCAGACUCCUACGGGAGGCAGCAGUGGGGAAUUUUGGACAAUGGGGGCAACCCUGAUCCAGCAACGCCGCGUGAAUGAAGAAGGCCUUAGGGUUGUAAAGUUCUUUUGUCAGGGGAAGAAAGUUUCUGUGCUAAUACCAUAGAACGAUGACUGGUACCUGAAGAAUAAGCACCGGGCUAACUACGUGCCAGCAGCCCGCGGUAAUACGUAGGGUGCAAGCGUUAAUCGGAAAUUACUGGGGCGUAAAGCCGUGCGGCAGGCGGAUAUGUAAGUUUAGAAGUGAAAAUCCCCCGGGGCUUCAACCUUG